GACGAACGCUGGCGGCGUGCCUUAUACAUGCAAGUAGAACGCAGUUGCGAACGGGUGAGUAACGCGUAGGUACCCUGCCUCAUAGCGUGGGUUAACUAUUGGAAACGAUAGCUAAUACCCGCUACUGUGAGCGGGAUCUGCGUUGUAUUUGCUAGUUGGUGGGGUAAAGGCUCACCAAGGCGACGAUACAUAGCCGGCCUGGAAGGUGGAGCGGCCACACUGGGACUGAGACACGGCCCAGACUCCUACCGGGAGCAACAGUAGGGAAACUUCGGCAAUGGGCGGAAGUCUGACCGAGCAACGCCGCGGGAGUGAAGAAGGGUUUCGGAUCGUAAAGCUAUGUUGUUAGAGAAGCGGUACCUAACCAGAAAGGGACGGCUAACUACGUGCCAGCCGCCGCGGUAAUUC
rnacentral:rRNA from 1 species